rnacentral:pre_miRNA from 1 species
GUGACAGAAGAGAGUGAGCACACAUGGUGUUUUCUUACAUGAUGAUGUUUCAUGCUUGAAGCUAUAUGUGCUCACCCUCUAUCUGUCAC